GGAGAAUUCGUCAAAUGGUAUGGCAGCGGCUUGCUAGGCCGUCGCGGGUAAAACCGUCCGGGGUUCGAAUCCCUGAUUCUCCG
rnacentral:tRNA from 1 species